AUGGUGCGUCCCGCCGCAGGGCGUACGGACAAAGAGGGAGGCGCUCAAGUCUUCCAAUGCGGGGAAAAGAGACUAGGGCUCGCCCCUCGGCGUCUGGCGGAAGGCCCAGGACAGCCGUACCUCUGUGGUUCAAAACACCCAAAGCCGAGAUUCAGAGGUACUACAAAUCCCAUAAAGUGUUGCACGUCUAGGGCCUUUGGAGAACGAGGUCGGCCCCGGCGCAGGCGCGGUGGCGCGAGUUGGACCGUGAAAAAAGAAACAUGGCGGCCGCGGCGUUUACUUCGAAAUUGUACUCCCUGCUGUUUCGCAGGAACUCCACCUUCGCCCUCACCAUCGUCGUGGGCGUCGUAUUCUUCGAGCGCGCCUUCGAUCAAGGCGCGGACGCGAUCUACGACCACAUCAACGAGGGGGUGAGGGCCUGUGGCAUCCUUGACCUUGGACCUGCCUGAGGGGUGACAGUGGAGUAGAGGUGGGACGGGACUCAGUAACCUUUACCAGGAAGGGGGUAAGGGGUAAACCGUCGGCGUCUUCUGUCUCGAGUCCGCCGUCUGUCCCCUUGGCUUGAUGUGAAUUAUAAAACGUUAAGCGAGGUUAAUAUAUCUCACUUUACAGGGGUUGUAAGUAUCGCUGUGUGCCACCCCACAUACCCACUUGUCCAUUAUCAGAAGCAAAAACUAAAGGCUAGUGAGAGCAAAGGACUUACUAGGUGCACAGGAAGCCAGGGGCAAGUCAGGGCCAGAAACGGGACCCCUGUCUCUCAGGGUUUCAAGGGCAGAUUUGAGCAGGCGACGGUCGUGAAAAGGACAUUAGACACCUUAGACGCCGUGGCUGAAGUUUCAGGUGACGCUUUCGGUCCCCAAGGCUUCCCACGUAGGCAGUUGUUAUUAAUGGUUGAGAGUGGGAGCUAUGAAAUCAGAAAGCCUUGGAUAGGAACACUGGUCCUUGUCACUUAACUGUGGCAUUAAGUUGAGCAAGUUUCUUCUCUGAACUCCGUUUUAACUGUGAGAUGGAGAUAUUAAUAGUAGAAACAUGAGCACUAUUGUGAGGAUCACAGGAGAUGCAGCGGGGUGCCACAUGCCUGGUAGGUGGCACCACUGAAAAGUAAUCACUGCUUACAUUCCUCAGGAGAAAGUGGAAGCAUGAGGUAGGAAUGGCAACACAUUUUUGACUUUUAUGUAUCACGCACUGUGCUAGGUGCAGUGCAUGCUUUAUAUCGCUAAAUUAUGGCUGUAUUGGAGUAGGCCUUAUACAUCUAGCCCUGUUCCACCACUCACUUGUUUUUAAUUUGAGACUGACUCUGCAGCCUGGGAAGGCACUGUCCACUAGUGCUAUGCUGCCUGUGACCAGUGCAACUUCCUGCCCACAUGAAAGCAUUGCCACUGUACCGUCUCUUGCAGUUGCUUCUGCUGACCACUCCCACUGAUCUGGAGAGACAUCCAAGCAUGUUGUUAUAACUCACCCAUUUUCCCUGUGCUUUUUUUUUUCUUUUUUGAGACAGGGUCUCACUCUGUCGCCCAGGUUGGAGUGCAGUGGCAUGAUCACAGCUCACUGCAGCCUUGACCUCCUGGGUUCAAGUGAUCCUCCCACCUCAGCCUCCUGAGUAGCUGGGACCACAGGCAAGUGCCACCACACCCAGCUAAUUUUUGUAUUUUUCGUAGAGAUGGCGUUUCACCAUGUUGCCCAGGCUGGUCUCGAAUUCCUGAGCUCAGUCUGUCCUCCUGCCUUAGUCUCCUAAAGUGCUGGGAUUACAAAUGUGAGCCACUGUGCUCAACCUCUUGUGCUUUUGGGAAUGAGAAUUUUGGCCAAUUUAGGUCCCAGGAAAUGUUUUAAAUGGCUCAUGGUGAAAUAUUUUGGGACUACACACUUACAACCUCUUCAGUAAUACCUGGGAGUUAAAGAACUGAGACAUCUUCCAGGCUGUUUUCCUUAAUAAUUGUGUGUUUUGGGGCACUUCCCUCGAUCUCAACCUGAAUUUCCUAUAAAAUUAAAAUCACCCCUUUCUACUUCACCUGGUGAUUGAAAGCAUCAUAGUAUUUUAUAAAUGCCAAGAAUUAUGCAUGAAGGCUCAGCACGGUGGCUCACGCCUGUCAUCUCAGCGCUUUGGGAGGCUGAAGCGGACCUCACUUGAGGUCAGGAGUUUGAGACCAGCUUAGCCAACAUGGCGAAACCCCAUCUCUACUAAAAAUACAGAAAGUAGCCGGGUAGCGCACACCUGUAUUCCUAGCUGCUCGUGAAACUGAGGCAGGACAAUCGCUUGAACCCAGGAGGCUGAGGUUGCAGUGAGCUGAGAUUG
rnacentral:lncRNA from 10 species